rnacentral:rRNA from 1 species
CCUACGGGAGGCAGCAGUAGGGAAUCUUCGGCAAUGGACGAAAGUCUGACCGAGCAACGCCGCGUGAGGGAAGAAGGUUUUCGGAUCGUAAAACUCUGUUGGUCGAGAAGCACGUUGGUGAGAGUGGAAAGCUCAUCAAGUGACGGUAACUACCCAGAAAGGGACGGCUAACUACGUGCCAGCAGCCGAGGUAAUACGUAGGUCCCGAGCGUUGUCCGGAUGUAUUGGGCGUAAAGCGAGCGCAGGUGGUUUGUUAAGUCUGGGGUAAAAGGCAGGGGCUCAACCAUUGUAUGCAUUUGAAACUGGUUGACUUGAGUGCAGGAGAGGAGAGUGGAAUGCCAUGUGUAGCGGUGAAAUGCGUAGAUAUAUGGAGGAACACCGGUGGCGAAGGCGGCUCUCUGGCCUGUAACUGACACUGAGGCUCGAAAGCGUGGGGAGCAAACAGGAUUAGAUACCCGAGUAGUC